CUUCACCUCUGUAUCUAGGAGAUGCCAGGAGCAGCACAUUGAUCCAACUGUACAGCAAUGUCUCCAAUUUUAACAACACACCUAUUUUCCAAAUACACUGAUUUAACCAGAUUAUACGUUUUGACCCCUAUACCACAAUGCAGCCAGCCUAUGGAGGAAACUCAUUUCGGCCACUUGUAUCCACAAUCUCAUUCUUUCAGUCCCUACCCAAAGCACAUGACCAUAAGUGAGGACUGGAACAUAGGUUGACUGGUAAAUCGAAAGCUUUGCCUUGGCUCAGCUCCGUCUUCACCAUGAUGGUUCAGUACAAUGCCUGCAUUACUUCUGACGCUGCCUCAAUCUGCCUGUCCAUCUCAUGCUCCAUUUUACCCUCACUCAUGAACAAGACCCCGAGGUACUUGAACUCCUUCCCUUGGGCCAGUAACUUGGAGGUGAUGACUCUCAUCCCAAUCGCUGCAAUUCUGAGGUCCCUAAACCAAACGCUCUCCUCCCCCUAGCUGAGCCUUGAGAUCCUGUCCAUGAAUAUCACAAACAGAAUUGGUGACAAAGGACAACCCUGGCAGAGCCCAACACCCACCGAAAAUGUGUUUGACUUUGUGCCGAGAAUAUGGACAGCUCUUACUUUGGUUAUGUAGGGACCAGAUGGCUCGUAGCAACAGCCCUGCUACGCCAUACUACUGCAGUACCCCCCACAGGAUCCCCUGAGGGACACUGGAAAGCCUUCUCCUUCAAGUCCACAAAACACAUGCAGACUGGAUGGGCAAACUCCCAUGACCCCCCAGCAACCCUGCAAGGCUAAAGAGCUGGUCCACUGUUCCACAGCCAGGACGGAAUUUGCAUUCGUCCUCCUGGAUCUGAGGUUCAACAAUCGGUCUGAGUGUCCUUUCCAGCACUUUCCCGGGGAGGCUGAGCAGUGAGAUAGCCCGAUAAUUGGAGCAUACCCUCUGGUCCCCCUUUUUAUCAAUGGGAACCAUCAUUGUGGUCUGCCAGUCCACAGCUACUGUUCCUGACCUCCACGAGCCAAGUCCUGCUUCCCCCUCCUGAGUUGUCUAAUGGUUGACCAGAACUUCCUUGAGGCCAACCGAAAGUCCUUCUCCAUAGCCUCCCCAAAUUCAUCUCACACCUGGGUUUUUGCUUCAGUGGCCACCAAAGCUGCAGCCCUUCUGGCCUCCCGGUACCUGUCUGCUGCUUCAGGGGACCCUUGGGCCAACCAAACCCAAAAGGCUUCCUUCUUCAGCUUGACCACAAGGUGGUGAUAAGUUGACAGCUCUGCUCCUCUCUUCACCCGAGUGUCCAAGACAUACGGGCGCAGAUCUGAUGAUAUGACCACAAAGCUGAUCAUUAAUCUUGGGGCUAAAGUGUUCUAGUACUAAGUACACUUGGACAAAAGUGACUGCUAAAUGAAUGUGAUGUUUUAUAUUUAAAUUUUUUUCAAAGGUGAAAACACUCUGAUUUACCUGAUCCAUAUCUUGGGAGUCAGCUCUGAGUGAGAAACCUUGGCAUCAACCAUGUGAUGAUAACAACCUGCUGUGCCUAAACCCGGUCUGUGCAGGUACAGGUUCUGGACAAACCCAAUCACAGACAUCAGUGAUGCUGGGUGUGGUCAGAGGUGACAGCGGAGUGGUGUGUAUAACAUACUGUAUGUGACAGCCAAGCAGCUCCCACAGAUUAUGUAAAUUUUGUUUUUCUCUUGGUUUUCACAAUAAGAAGGAUGGGAAAUUACUGAGGGACAGAGACAACUCAGAAAUUGCUAAUUUUGCAUGGUUAGUGUCAGAAAUGCCGAUUUAGAGUUUCUCGGUAGAUUUUGUGCUUAUGCGCUGGGUGAUCAAUUUUCAUUCAGAUUAAUGGGAGUCAUUUUCAGAGUACUCAGUUGUCAUAAUUGUGGUAGUCUGCCACCUUUUCCUCUCCAGCCCUGUGUUCUCUGUUGUGUUCCCCUUCCUGGUGUGUCUUGUGGGUCCCCUACUUGUCUUUGGAUAUGUGUGUGUGUAUGUGUGUAUGUUACCUGCCUGGCUCUAGGAACCUCCCACCUGCGGCUGAUCACCAGCACACCUGUCUCCUAUCUACUCAUCAGUCUUCACAGCUUAUAUACCAGGCUUUUCCACUACUCUGACGCCAGAUCGUCCCCGUACAUUGUACGACAACUACGUCUAGGCUCUCGCUAAAGCUAAGUACUUUUUGCAAGUGUGUUUUUCCUUCGUGUUUUUGAUCCUGUCUGUUUUUGCUCUGCCUAAGGCAUUACCCGGUGCUGGUGAUCGCCGCUCCUGUGGUUUCCUGGAUUCCUGUCUGCCUGCUUCUCCAGCCAGCUUCACCCUGCCUGUCGUCAUCUGUUUACACUGCUCAUUCACCAUUCGACUUUAUUACGAAUAAAGUGUGUUUUGGAUUACAGAGACUUCUCGGUAUUGUGCGUUUUUUGGGGUUCGAAGAUCGUGCAUACAACAAUAAUACACCCAUUGUCGUAGUAGCUAGCUGAGCAAUAUUAUGGGUCAGAAUUGUGUGUUUAGAUAUCAGUUGGCAAAAAUGUUGUUUACAUUUACAAAAGAGCAUGUUUUUUUUCUUGUCGUCCACCCCCUGAUAACAUGUUGUGGCAGGUGUGGGUGGAGGCCAACAGUCCUCUACAGCUGUAUCGUGGAUAUCUCACUCUUAACCACUGUGGAAAGCUCAAUCCUGCUGUCAGUCCAAAUGCAGAUUACUGCUGCAUUCACUGUUGUUGCUGUUUAGAUUCACAAGUGAAAUACACCGUUAACACCGUUGAGUCAUGCCUACUUUUGAGCAAUCAGUUAAGUCCCUAUAAUUAUUACACCUUGCCUUCAUGUUCUGUUUCACUUAAAAAUUUGUCAUAUUGUGGAAGCUAAAGAUUUUCUUGCUGUUGUUUCACUGUGUCUUUAAAGCUAAUGUGUGCAGGAUUUGAAAAGUUCUGACUUUGGCUCCCCCAGUAGUAGUAUGUGAAACGAGAUUGUGGGGGCAGCAAUGUCCAUUUUCUAAAGUUUGGGUUUUGGUCACGGUUUUGCUGACAUUAAUGUAAAACAAACCCAAACAAUAAAUAAAACAAAUAAAUGAAUAAUUUUUGCAAUGAAAACGUA